rnacentral:rRNA from 1 species
CAGGUUUACCUGUGUGACUGCGUACCUUUUGUAUAAUGGGUCAGCGACUUAUAUUCUGUAGCAAGGUUAACCGAAUAGGGGAGCCGGAGGGAAACCGAGUCUUAAUUGGGCGUUAAGUUGCAGGGUAUAGACCCGAAACCCGGUGAUCUAGCCAUGGGCAGGUUGAAGGUUGGGUAACACUAACUGGAGGACCGAACCGACUAAUGUUGAAAAAUUAGCGGAUGACCUGUGGCUGGGGGUGAAAGGCCAAUCAAACCGGGAGAUAGCUGGUUCUCCCCGAAAGCUAUUUAGGUAGCGCCUCGUGAAUUCAUCUCCGGGGGUAGAGCACUGUUUCGGCUAGGGGGCCAUCCCGGCUUACCAACCCGAUGCAAACUGCGAAUACCGGAGAAUGUUAUCACGGGAGACACACGGCGGGUGCUAACGUCCGUCGUGAAGAGGGAAACAACCCAGACCGCCAGCUAAGGUCCCAAAGUCAUGGUUAAGUGGGAAACGAUGUGGGAAGGCCCAGACAGCCAGGAUGUUGGCUUAGAAGCAGCCAUCAUUUAAAGAAAGCGUAAUAGCUCACUGGUCGAGUCGGCCUGCGCGGAAGAUGUAACGGGGCUAAACCAUGCACCGAAGCUGCGGCAGCGACACUGUGUGUUGUUGGGUAGGGGAGCGUUCUGUAAGCCUGCGAAGGUGGCCUGUGAGGGUUGCUGGAGGUAUCAGAAGUGCGAAUGCUGACAUAAGUAACGAUAAAGCGGGUGAAAAGCCCGCUCGCCGGAAGACCAAGGGUUCCUGUCCAACGUUAAUCGGGGCAGGGUGAGUCGACCCCUAAGGCGAGGCCGAAAGGCGUAGUCGAUGGGAAACGGGUUAAUAUUCCCGUACUUGGUGUUACUGCGAAGGGGGGACGGAGAAGGCUAUGUUGGCCGGGCGACGGUUGUCCCGGUUUAAGCGUGUAGGUGUGUGUUCCAGGUAAAUCCGGUUCACUUUAACACUGAGGCGUGACGACGAGGCACUACGGUGCUGAAGCAACAAAUGCCCUGCUUCCAGGAAAAGCCUCUAAGCAUCAGGUAACAUCAAAUCGUACCCCAAACCGACACAGGUGGUCAGGUAGAGAAUACCAAGGCGCUUGAGAGAACUCGGGUGAAGGAACUAGGCAAAAUGGUGCCGUAACUUCGGGAGAAGGCACGCUGACACGUAGGUGAAGUGAUUUACUCAUGGAGCUGAAGUCAGUCGAAGAUACCAGCUGGCUGCAACUGUUUAUUAAAAACACAGCACUGUGCAAACACGAAAGUGGACGUAUACGGUGUGACGCCUGCCCGGUGCCGGAAGGUUAAUUGAUGGGGUCAGCGCAAGCGAAGCUCCUGAUCGAAGCCCCGGUAAACGGCGGCCGUAACUAUAACGGUCCUAAGGUAGCGAAAUUCCUUGUCGGGUAAGUUCCGACCUGCACGAAUGGCGUAAUGAUGGCCAGGCUGUCUCCACCCGAGACUCAGUGAAAUUGAACUCGCUGUGAAGAUGCAGUGUACCCGCGGCAAGACGGAAAGACCCCGUGAACCUUUACUAUAGCUUGACACUGAACAUUGAGCCUUGAUGUGUAGGAUAGGUGGGAGGCUUUGAAGUGUGGACGCCAGUCUGCAUGGAGCCGACCUUGAAAUACCACCCUUUAAUGUUUGAUGUUCUAACGUGGACCCGUAAUCCGGGUUGCGGACAGUGUCUGGUGGGUAGUUUGACUGGGGCGGUCUCCUCCUAAAGAGUAACGGAGGAGCACGAAGGUUGGCUAAUCCUGGUCGGACAUCAGGAGGUUAGUGCAAUGGCAUAAGCCAGCUUGACUGCGAGCGUGACGGCGCGAGCAGGUGCGAAAGCAGGUCAUAGUGAUCCGGUGGUUCUGAAUGGAAGGGCCAUCGCUCAACGGAUAAAAGGUACUCCGGGGAUAACAGGCUGAUACCGCCCAAGAGUUCAUAUCGACGGCGGUGUUUGGCACCUCGAUGUCGGCUCAUCACAUCCUGGGGCUGAAGUAGGUCCCAAGGGUAUGGCUGUUCGCCAUUUAAAGUGGUACGCGAGCUGGGUUUAGAACGUCGUGAGACAGUUCGGUCCCUAUCUGCCGUGGGCGCUGGAGAACUGAGGGGGGCUGCUCCUAGUACGAGAGGACCGGAGUGGACGCAUCACUGGUGUUCGGGUUGUCAUGCCAAUGGCACUGCCCGGUAGCUAAAUGCGGAAGAGAUAAGUGCUGAAAGCAUCUAAGCACGAAACUUGCCCCGAGAUGAGUUCUCCCUGAGACUUAGAGUCUCCUGAAGGAACGUUGAAGACGACGACGUUGAUAGGCCGGGUGUGUAAGCGCAGCGAUGCGUUGAGCUAACCGGUACUAAUGAACCGUGAGGCUUAACCUUACAA